rnacentral:rRNA from 1 species
GACAGAGGGUGCAAACGUUGUUCGGAAUUACUGGGCGUAAAGCGCAUGUAGGCGGCCACGCAGGUCGGAUGUGAAAUCCCUCGGCUCAACCAAGGAAGUGCAUUCGAGACCGCAUGGCUGGAGUCCCGGAGAGGAAGGCGGAAUUCUCGGUGUAGAGGUGAAAUUCGUAGAUAUCGAGAGGAACACCGGCGGCGAAAGCGGCCUUCUGGACGAGGACUGACGCUGAGAUGCGAAAGCGUGGGGAGCAAACAGG